rnacentral:rRNA from 1 species
CUGAUAGGAUGCGAGGGCUUCACCGCCUAUCAAGUCCUGAUAAACUCCGAAUGCCGGUAAUUUAGCUGUGGAGAAAGGGCGAGGGUGCUAAGGUCCUCGCCCGAGAGGAGAAGAAUCCGGACCGCCGGCUAAGGCCCCGGAGUGCAUGUUAAGUUAGUCUAACGAAGUACGGCCCCCGUGACAGCUAGGAUGUUGGCUUGGAAGCAGCCAUUCAUUCAAAGAGUGCGUAACAGCUCACUAGUCGAGGGUCUGUGCGUGGAUAAUAAUCGGGUAUUAAACAUGCCGCCGAAGCCGCGGGAUUGCACUUUUUAAUGGUGUAAUCGGUAGGGGAGCAUUCCAUGUGCGUUGAAUGGAUUCCGUAAGGGGUUCUGGAGCGUAUGGAAAAGCAAAUGUAGGUAUAAGUAACGAUAAAGAGGGUGAGAUGCCCUCUCGCCGAAAGACUAAGGUUUCCUGGGCGACGUUAAUCGUCCCAGGGUCAGUCGGGUCCUAAGGAUAAGCCUAAUGGCGAGGCCGAACGGAGAAACGGUUAAUAUUCCGUUACUAUCUGCGUCGAGCGACGCGGUGACGGGGCGGUGACACUUCCGCGCCCUUACGAAUCAGGGCGUUGAACGGCAAAGGUGUAGAUUGCGGUAGUGAAGUACGCCGCGAGAGCCGAAGCCGGAAAGUACGCGAGUCCUCCGGGAUGAGCGAUAGUGAAGGUAAUAGCCUCCGAGAAAACCCGCUAAGCAUUAUGAUGGUGCAGGUACCCGUACCGUAAACGGACACACGUAGUUGGGUAGAAAAUACUAAGGCGCUAGGGAGAUUCACGGUUAAGGAACUAGGCAAAAUAGCCCUGUAACUUCGGGAGAAAGGGUCCUGCUUUUAUAGCAGGCGCAGUGAAAAGGUCCAGGCAACUGUUUACCAAAAACACAGGGCUGUGCGAAGUGUAAUUACUCAGUAUACAGCCUGACACCUGCCCGGUGCCGGAAGGUUAAGAGGAGGGCUUAUCAGCAAUGAGAAGGUCUGAAUUGAAGCCCCGGUAAACGGCGGCCGUAACUAUAACGGUCCUAAGGUAGCGAAAUUCCUUGUCGGGUAAGUUCCGACCUGCACGAAUGGUGUAAUGAUCCGGACACUGUCUCAACCGUGAUCCCUGUGAAAUUGAAGUAUCGGUGAAGAUGCCGAUUACCCGCGAUGGGACGAAAAGACCCCGUGAACCUUUACUAUAGCUUAGCGUUGGAACUGGGCAAUUGAUGUGUAGGAUAGGCCGGAGGCAAUGAAGCGUGCGCGCCAGCGUAUGUGGAGCCGCCGUUGAAAUACGGCCCUUUGGCUGUUUGGUUCCUAACUUGCAAGAAUGCAAGGACCGCGCUUGGUGGGUAGUUUGACUGGGGUGGUCGCCUCCAAAAGC